rnacentral:lncRNA from 1 species
AAUUUCUCAGAUAAGCAAUAUGGUUACAACUAUUUCUGUCAUUAAUUUGGAACACCAUGUGUUAGAGCCCGUAACAAAAUAAAAACUUCAUUCAGAAUACUUGGUAAUUUUUGGUAUGUCGCAUGAACAUUUAUAAAACGAAUAUCAUCUGCACAAUUUUUCAUUAAAACCAGUUAUUUAACCUUUGCUAGCUGUUUUUAGUACAUCUUUAGUAUAGAAUCUAAGGAAUUUUUCUCACAUAGGUGAAUGAAACCUCCAGAGAGCCUUAAAGAGCAUUACCAGCUUUAUUCUACAGAAAUCAAGAAGCAGAAAUGUUGCAUUUUGCUCCAGACCAUGGACAGGACUCACAGCUAAAGCUGAGGAGGAAGAACCAAAAAGAUGAGAAGCCUCUGCGUUCUUAGAGUCCUGUCACGCAGCCCUUCGGAGCAACACUGCUUCUUCCAGACAACAGGCAAGGAGACACUCCCCAGCUUUCUUCCAGCUAUCCAAGUUCCUAGAAAAAAGAUUGGAACAAUAAUGUGAGGCAUGGGAGACUGAUACUCACGUGCAUACAAUGCUUAGGCUGGCUUUGGAUCCCACCUCCACAUCCUGGUGCUACUGACUCAUCCUCCAGUUCAGGUAAGAGUAAUCAAAUAUCUCUUGCUCUUAUCCCAUUCUUAAAACUGUCUCUAGUGAUGAUGUGAAUUACUCACACUUUUCUUACAUUCCCAUUAGAAAAGGACCUCCACUGUCCAAAGGAAUUGCUGAUACAGAAUGUACUGAUGCCUGUGAGAGUCUUUCUCCUGGCUUCAGAAGACUUUAGAUCAGCCCUUAGGAAGCCAUUAGGAAUGGAGAAUAAAGACCUAGUGUUUGCUACA